GACGUAGGGCGCAAGCGUUGUCCGGAAUUAUUGGGCGUAAAGAGCUCGUAGGCGGUUUGUCGCGUCUGCUGUGAAAACUCGGGGCUUAACUCCGGGCCUGCAGUGGGUACGGGCAGACUAGAGUGCGGUAGGGGAGACUGGAAUUCCUGGUGUAGCGGUGAAAUGCGUAGAUAUCCGGAGGAAGACCAGUGGCGAAGGCGGGUCUCUGGACAGUUCCUGACACUGAGGCACGAAGGCCAGGGGGGCAAACGGG
rnacentral:rRNA from 1 species